rnacentral:rRNA from 1 species
GGUGCGCUCAGCGUGGUCGGAAAUCACGCGUAGAGUAUAAAGGCAAAAGCGCGCUUAACUGCGAGACCCACAAGUCGAGCAGGUACGAAAGUAGGUCUUAGUGAUCCGGUGGUUCUGUAUGGAAGGGCCAUCGCUCAACGGAUAAAAGGUACUCUGGGGAUAACAGGCUGAUACCGCCCAAGAGUUCAUAUCGACGGCGGUGUUUGGCACCUCGAUGUCGGCUCAUCUCAUCCUGGGGCUGAAGCAGGUCCCAAGGGUAUGGCUGUUCGCCAUUUAAAGAGGUACGCGAGCUGGGUUUAGAACGUCGUGAGACAGUUCGGUCCCUAUCUACCGUGGGCGCUGGAAAUUUGAGAGGAUCUGCUCCUAGUACGAGAGGACCAGAGUGGACGAACCUCUGGUGUACCGGUUGUGACGCCAGUCGCAUCGCCGGGUAGCUAUGUUCGGAAGGGAUAACCGCUGAAAGCAUCUAAGCGGGAAGCCUACCUCAAGAUAAGAUUUCCCUAGGACUUUAUGUCCUCUAAAGAGCCGUUCGAGACUAGGACGUUGAUAGGUUGGAUGUGGAAGCAUAGUGAUAUGUGAAGCUGACCAAUACUAAUUGCUCGUGAGGCUUGACUAUACAACACCCAAGCAGUUG